rnacentral:rRNA from 1 species
AUUGAACGCUGGCGGCAGGCCUAACACAUGCAAGUCGAGCGGAGCGGCGGACGGGUGAGUAAUGACUAGGAAUCUGCCUGGUAGUGGGGGAAAAAUCCCGAAAACGGGCGCAAAUACCGAAUAUAACCGAAUGGUCCUAGGUCGGAUUGUCUAGUUGGUGGGUUAAAGGCCUACCAAGGCGACGAUCCGUAACUGGUCUGAGAGGAUGAUCAGUCACACUGGAACUGAGACACGGUCCAGACUCCUACGUGAGGCAGCAGUGGGGAAUAUUGGACAAUGGGCGAAAGCCUGAUCCAGCCAUGCCGCGUGUGUGAAGAAGGUCUUCGGAUUGUAAAGCACUUUAAGUUGGGAGGCGUUACCAACAGAAUAAGCACCGGCUAACUUCGUGCCAGCAGCCGCGGUAAUUC